AACGAACGCUGGCGGCAUGCCUAACACAUGCAAGUCGAACGAGACCUUCGGGUCUAGUGGCGCACGGGUGCGUAACGCGUGGGAACCUGCCCUUAGGUUCGGAAUAACUCCCCGAAAGGGGUGCUAAUACCGGAUAAUGUCUUCGGACCAAAGAUUUAUCGCCUUUGGAUGGGCCGGCGUUGGAUUAGAUAGUUGGUAGGGUAAAAGCCUACCAAGGCGACGAUCCAUAGCUGGUCUGAGAGGAUGAUCAGCCACACUGGGACUGAGACACGGCCCAGACUCCUACGGGAGGCAGCAGUGGGGAAUAUUGGACAAUGGGCGAAAGCCUGAUCCAGCAAUGCCGCGUGAGUGAUGAAGGCCUUAGGGUUGUAAAGCUCUUUUACCCGGGAUGAUAAUGACAGUACCGGGAGAAUAAGCUCCGGCUAACUCCGUG
rnacentral:rRNA from 1 species